rnacentral:rRNA from 1 species
AUUGAACGCUGGCGGAAUGCUUUACACAUGCAAGUCGAGCGGCAGCGCGGGGCAACCUGGCGGCGAGCGGCGAACGGGUGAGUAAUACAUCGGAACGUGCCCAGACGUGGGGGGAUAACUACUCGAAAGAGUGGCUAAUACCGCAUACGAUCUAAGGAUGAAAGCGGGGGAUCGCAAGACCUCGCGCGUUUGGAGCGGCCGAUGGCAGAUUAGGUAGUUGGUGGGGUAAAGGCUUACCAAGCCCGCGAUCUGUAGCUGAUCUGAGAGGAUGAUCAGCCACACUGGGACUGAGACACGGCCCAGACUCCUACGGGAGGCAGCAGUGGGGAAUAUUGCGCAAUGGGGCGAAAGCCUGACGCAGCGACGCCGCGUGAGGGACGAAGGUCUUCGGAUUGUAAACCUCUUUCAGCAGGGAUGAAGCGAAAGUGACAGUACCUGCAGAAGAAGC